UAGGGAAUCUUCCACAAUGGACGCAAGUCUGAUGGAGCAACGCCGCGUGAGUGAAGAAGGUUUUCGGACCGUAAAGCUCUGUUGUUGGUGAAGAAGGAUAGAGGUAGUAACUGGCCCUUUAUUUGACGGUAAUCAACCAGAAAGUCACGGCUAACUACGUGCCAGCAGCCGCGGUAAUACGUAGGUGGCAAGCGUUGUCCGGAUUUAUUGGGCGUAAAGCGAGCGCAGGCGGAAGAAUAAGUCUGAUGUGAAAGCCCUCGGCUUAACCGAGGAAUUGCAUCGGAAACUGUUUUCUUGAGUGCAGAAGAGGAGAGUAGAACUCCAUGUGUAGCGGUGGAAUGCGUAGAUAUAUGGAAGAAUACCAGUGGCGAAGGCGGCUCUCUGGUCUGCAACUGACGCUGAGGCUCGAAAGCAUGGGUAGCGAACAGGAUUAGAUACCCUGGUAGUCCAUGCCGUAAACGAUGAGUGCUAAGUGUUGGGAGGCUUCCGCCUCUCAGUGCUGCAGCUAACGCAUUAAGCACUCCGCCUGGGGGAGUACGACCGCAAGGUUGAAAC
rnacentral:rRNA from 1 species